CACUACCUAUGAUAUCCCAAUAUUUCCAUAAGAGAAAUAGAAGACCUUUAAUUAGUAUAUUUGAUGAGGACUAAAUCCUCCAUCAGCGUUGUACUUAACAAUAUCGAAAUAUCUCUCUCAAUUAUUACUAUUAUUAAAUAAAGCUAACCAGCACAGAUUUAAUUGAAGACGUGGGAUCAUAAAAGGAACUCGAAGCACCUGCACAGUAAAGAGAACCCGAAGCACUUGCGCAGCCGAGAAAUAAUGGAGCUUCCGGCACAGUCAAGCCAACACAGGCGACUCAAAACCAAAGUUAAUGUAAUAAGGGGCUUAGGCCCAAUUAUCUAAAGAAUGGGCCUAAAGGCCUUAGGGCUUACUCUCAUACCUAUAAAUAGAAGGUUUAUCAUUAGAGUUAGAGGAUGGAUUCUUAGUUCACUUGUAAUAUGUAAACAUUCUCAAAUCAUAGUGAAAAUAUUCGUAGAUCUCCCGUGGAUGUAGGUCUUAAUGACCGAACCACGUAAAUUAUUGUGUCAUUUAUCGUUUUAUAGAUAGGUGUUGAUUUUUAAACUUAUCGUUUAUCGUCUGUAGGAAAUUGAGCUAAGGCGUGAGUAUUUUAUUAUUUCCCGGUUACUAUUCAUAAAAAAAAAUCAGAAAUCCUUUUUCCGGCGACAAUGGCUGAUGCAUCUCAAUUUCAGUUUUCUUUCCCAAAAUAGCUGUCUCUCUCUCCUGCAUCCAUCGAUCUAUCAUUAUUCUCACAAAUCUGAAAUUCUCGCCGACAAUCUUUGGUGAAAAAUUGAAACUCAAUUCCCAGCAAAACACUCGGUUCUGUCAAAAAUUCGGCAACACCCGCCGCCACCUCCUUAUCUGAACUCCGGACGAGGCCGGCGCCUCGUCCGGUCAGCGAUGCCUUCGCAUGACUCACCAUUUCUAUCUCUCUCUCUCAUACACAACAGAACAAGCUCCCAAACAGAUUCGAACAACGCCGCCGCCUUAUCCGGCGAAAAUCGGUGCCGCGGAGAAUCACCAUCCACCGUCGUGCCCUAAGGGUCCCCAGUUCUAACCUCCAAUCGAAUAUCAAAGAGCAAGAAAAUCAAAUCCCCAAAAAUCGACCAAAAUCAGAUCCACAAUCUCCAUCAUCCCAAAUUUCGAGAGAUCUCAUGUGAAAAUUGAUCGGUGAAAGGAGAAGAAGUUCAGCUAAAUUUCGAAUAAGAGUGCUGCACUAGCGCCACCUCGAAGUUACGGCGAUUUCACCGACACACCGCCUCGCGCUGUGCAGCGCCAUCGUGGAUCAGGGGCGUGACUCACUGGAUCUCCCAAAUUCACGGCCGAGCCUUCAACUUUCACUCAACAAUUUUUUCUGUAUUUCUUAUUUUCUUGCAACUUGAGACAUACAUCGUAACUAACAGAUAGCUCUCCAUGUCCCAUAUUCAUUUUUACUUGAUCAUUGCUCGCCUCGGCGACGUUCGAGGCUUGCAAUGAAAGAGCCAUUUUCUUGGAAGUCCUUCUCAAAAUGAAACAUACUGGUGCCAUUGAUAAGAUAAGGGCUGGGUUUACUGCUCUUUAUAGCCGCCUGCUUUGCUCAAACGACUCUAGUGGGAAGAGGAAAUAUUUUGUCUGUGCAUGCCAAACAUGGAAGGGAAGGUGCAUGCUGGUGUAGUGCGUCGAACUCGGGCUCCCCCAAUUCAUCACACACAAGGACGUUCAACGUCUUAGGCGGGCAGCGGUGAAGGGGUCAGAAAGUCAGACCGCAACGGAAGCAGGUACCAGCGGCCAAAUGUUUUUGAAUCUCUGAUUGCGGCAGUUGGCGAAAGUUUUUGGCCUUGCUUAAAGGUAGUGAGGCGGCAGAAACCGUGGAGUCGGAAGAGUAGGUAGCUGUGGCUGUUGGUUGGCCGGCUGUGAGAGGGGUAACAUGGUGGAAAAACACGGUAGGGGUACUAGGACGGGCAGCACGGCGCGCUGCGCUGACCGCAGAGGUGUAGUAAGUGAGAGCGUUAUCCUGUAUCUGCUCUCGCACCGAACGCUUGAGACCACCGAGGAAAUAUCCUAAGCACUGGUCAUCCGAAAGGGGAGGCAGAUGGGCCACGCGGCUUUCGAAAGCAGCGAUGUAAUCCUCCAGAGAUCCUGUUUGAUGUAAUAGAAACAAGGCCUCGUAGGUGUUGAGCGUGGAGGCAUCGCCAAAAUGCGCCAAUAAGGCUUGGGUGAAUUGUGGCCAUGCCGGGUUGGGGUUACGACGCAGGAGUAGUUGUAACCAGGAAAUAGCUGCGCCAGACAUGCCGAUAAUAGCAAGCUGCAGCUUCAUGGCCGGGAGAAUGCGAUGGACGAGAAAAUAUUGGUUGGCUCGAGCAAUCCAGCCCACGAGAUCAGAUCCAUCGAACCCGGGUAAGUCAGAUUUUUGAAUCGGAAUAGUGGUGGGGUUGGUGUUGUCGGGAACGAACGGCUGUUUCCUAGUGGAAGAGUCGUCGGGAUCAUCUGGAACGAAGGGUUGUUUCCAGAGGAAGAGACGGCGGCCAAUAUGGCUGCAAGUUGAGUUUCCAUGGCAGAACGGUUAGCGUCGACUGCUUUGGUGAGGGAGGUCAGCGAUGUCUGCAACUCUAACACCACCUUCUCUAAAUAAUCCAGUCGAGACUCGGUGCUGCGCGUCGUAGCAACCAUGGCAGGUCGAACCAAUUGAUAGAGUAAAGGUGGAGAACGAGAACUGAACGGUAAUAUUAUAAAUGAUAGAAAUUAAAAGAAA